UGCAGUCGAGCGAUCCUUUCGGGGAUAGCGGCGGACGGGUGAGUAACGCGUGGGAAUGUGCCCUUCUCUACGGAAUAGCCUCGGGAAACUGGGAGUAAUACCGUAUACGCCCCUUGGGGGAAAGAUUUAUCGGAGAAGGAUCAGCCCGCGUUGGAUUAGGUAGUUGGUGGGGUAAUGGCCUACCAAGCCUACGAUCCAUAGCUGGUUUGAGAGGAUGAUCAGCCACACUGGGACUGAGACACGGCCCAGACUCCUACGGGAGGCAGCAGUGGGGAAUCUUAGACAAUGGGGGCAACCCUGAUCUAGCCAUGCCGCGUGAGUGAUGAAGGCCUUAGGGUUGUAAAGCUCUUUCAGCUGGGAAGAUAAUGACGGUACCAGCAGAAGAAGCCCCGGCUAACUCCGUGCCAGCAGCCGCGGUAAUACGGAGGGGGCUAGCGUUGUUCGGAAUUACUGGGCGUAAAGCGCACGUA
rnacentral:rRNA from 1 species